rnacentral:precursor_RNA from 1 species
ACCCUGGUUUAGUCACUUUCACUGCAUUAAUCAAUGCAUUUGUAAAAAGAGGGAAAAGCAUUGAAAUUGUAUGCGAGAAAGUUUUUAAAAGGAUAAAGUUCACUUGAAACAAAUAACAAAAAGUAAAAAAAAAGACAUAACCAAGAAAAAUGAUUAGGAGGAGGUUUGUAUACAGGUCAACUAGAGUUGAUUAUAUUUGUGUGAAGUAGUCUAUGUAGUAAUGUUUUAAAGGCAUCAGAUUUCACCUUUUUCUUGAAGUACAUAUUUGUUCAGUACUAAUAGUACUAGAAAAAGCUUGUCACCUGUUUUUGUAUAAAAAUGUAUUUGUUGUACUUUGUUUGAGAUUGCAUCAUUUGAAUCUAUAAAGUGUAAUCAUGCAGUAGUUCCUUUGA